rnacentral:rRNA from 1 species
AUUGAACGCUGGCGGCAUGCUUUACACAUGCAAGUCGAACGGCAGCGCGGGCUUCGGCCUGGCGGCGAGUGGCGAACGGGUGAGUAAUGCAUCGGAACGUGCCCAGCUGUGGGGGAUAGCCCGGCGAAAGCCGGAUUAAUACCGCAUACGACCUGAGGGUGGAAGCGGGGGACCGAAAGGCCUCGCGCUAUUGGAGCGGCCGAUGUCGGAUUAGCUAGUUGGUGGGGUAAAGGCUUACCAAGGCGACGAUCCGUAGCUGGUCUGAGAGGACGACCAGCCACACUGGAACUGAGACACGGCCCAGACUCCUACGGGAGGCAGCAGUGGGGAAUUUUGGACAAUGGGGGCAACCCUGAUCCAGCCAUGCCGCGUGCGGGAAGAAGGCCUUCGGGUUGUAAACCGCUUUUGUUCGGGAAGAAAUCCUCUGGGCUAAUACCCCGGGGGGAUGACGGUACCGGAAGAAUAAGCACCGGCUAACUACGUG